CCCUAGUCAACAUUCUCUUAAGUACUGAACUCACUUAAGAGCUGUGGGGGCCAAACGAGUACAUCUCUGUUUAAGCUAACGAGCCCACAUCACUCUAAUACAAAACUGAAUAAAUCUUCAUUUUAGAGAAAGGAGUGGAGACUAUCAAAUUUAAACUCAGUUUCUAAAAUUAUCAACACCUGAACAUAUUUUAAAAACGCAACAUAUUGAGAAACUCCAACAUUUGGUGACAUGAUGAGAACACUCAUCUGACAGACUGGGUACUGCGCCGGUUCUUUGCCCUUCCUGGAACCCACACCCACCCAUCGCAAUAGCUCUGGGCACGCUAUCGGAAGCCCUGUUUUCAUGAACCGCCCCCAAAGCCGGCCUCUGCAGCAGAAAACUCUUACCAGAGGAGCCGGUCACCAUCAGGCCGGGGAGCUUGCCCACGAUCUCGCUGAACGGGAUUGCCUCCAGUUAUUAUUAAAGCGUCCGACGCUGCACUGAUGAAAUCAUUUCUUAAAUUGCGUUUGUCUUUUCCCGUCUGAGCUAAAAUAAGCUCCCCGGCCGGGAAGGGUCCCUCUCUAGAAGGGGAGCAAGAAGAGGGAACGUGAGGUUUCCCGGGCUCGGUGGCCACCGAGCCACCGCGGACAGGACAGCACGCGCUCCCCGCAGCCACAGCGCGACGGAGGGAGGGAGGGAGGGAGGAAGGGGUCGCAGCAGCUCUGCUCUCCACCCCAGCCCCUCCACAGCCUGAGGUUUUCCGCAGACUAGAGACGCCGAGUCCCGACGCUCCGGACACCCAGAGUGGGAGACGGGGACGACCCGCGCACGCCGUGCCGCGCAUCUCCAGGAUUCGCAGCACCGGAACCGAGCUCCCUCCUAAGACACUAACGCAGGGUCCAACAGGAAUGAAUCGACCGACUCCGAGCUUCGACCGACCCUGGAAACGCCCGCCGCAGCCUCAACAACGAAAAGCAUCCGCGCAGGUGCUGUCGCACACGAGUGACGCAAUCACAGCCCCCUGCCCGCCCGACGCCUCGUUUCGGGCCGCUUAGGCUGCGGACUCG
rnacentral:lncRNA from 1 species